rnacentral:rRNA from 1 species
UACGAAGGGGGCUAGCGUUGCUCGGAAUCACUGGGCGUAAAGGGUGCGUAGGCGGGUUUUUAAGUCAGAGGUGAAAUCCUGGAGCUCAACCCCAGAACUGCCUUUGAUACUGAAAGUCUUGAGUAUGGGAGAGGUGAGUGGAACUGCGAGUGUAGAGGUGAAAUUCGUAGAUAUUCGCAAGAACACCAGUGGCGAAGGCGGCUCACUGGCCCAUUACUGACGCUGAGGCACGAAAGCGUGGGGAGCAAACAGGG